rnacentral:misc_RNA from 1 species
UCCGAGUUGACCCCGGCAGUAUCCUAUGAGUCCCCGGCAUUACCCGCUGGCAACAUAGGACGAGGGUUGCGCUCGUUGCGGGACUUAACCCAACAUCUCACGACACGAGCUGACGACAACCAUGCACCACCUGUGCAGGACCCUUGCGGACCUGGCAUCUCUGCCAGAUUUCCCUGCAUGUCAAGCCCAGGUAAGGUUCUUCGCGUUGCAUCGAAUUAAGCCACAUGCUCCGCCGCUUGUGCGGGCCCCCGUCAAUUCCUUUGAGUUUUAGCCUUGCGGCCGUACUCCCCAGGCGGGGCGCUUAAUGCGUUAGCUGCGGCACGGACUGCGUGGAAGACAGCCCACACCUAGCGCCCAACGUUUACGGCGUGGACUAC